AAGUGAUGUUUGGCUCAGAGAAGAGUCUUCAGACCUGGAAAGGACUUGAGGAGUCCCAGAGAGGAGCUACAUGGUCUGAACCAUUUGAUUCUCACAAAAGAAUGGGGAAAAACAAUUCCAACCAUGAAGCAAUGCAGAUGUUCAUAUUUUGGAUCUGGUAUGUAUUGGGUGGAGGAGCAUUAUGUAUGGAACUUCUCACAAAACAGACUUUUUAACACUGAUCUGCUGCUGUUGAG
rnacentral:lncRNA from 10 species